UCAACAAAAGAGUACGCUAAGCAUUUCCAUAUAACGAAAAGCAUUUCCAUAUAACGAAGCAAAAUGUCUGGGAAAAGUGAAUGGCCCGAGCUUGUGUUCGUAGAAUAUUAUGAAGUUGCAGAUAUAAUACAAAAGGAGAAUCCUAACGUCAAACCACAAAAGAUUCUUGCUGGAAGUCCGAUGAUUUUGAAUUACGAUCCUUCACGAGUUAGGGUUAUUGUCAAUAUUAAGGAUGUUUGUAUUUCACCUCCCAAAGUUGGUUAAAAAUUACUCACGGGUAUCGUUGUAAAAGUUAUAUGUACGUGUCUAUAUGAAAGUACCAAUUUUAAUUAUU